AUUGAACGCUAGCGGGAUGCUUUACACAUGCAAGUCGAACGGCAGCGCGGACUUCGGUCUGGCGGCGAGUGGCGAACGGGUGAGUAAUGUAUCGGAACGUGCCCAGUAGCGGGGGAUAACUACUCGAAAGCGUAGCUAAUACCGCAUACGCCCUACGGGGGAAAGCAGGGGAUCGUAAGACCUUGCACUAUUGGAGCGGCCGAUAUCGGAUUAGCUAGUUGGUGAGGUAACGGCUCACCAAGGCGACGAUCCGUAGCUGGUUUGAGAGGACGACCAGCCACACUGGGACUGAGACACGGCCCAGACUCCUACGGGAGGCAGCAGUGGGGAAUUUUGGACAAUGGGGGCAACCCUGAUCCAGCCAUCCCGCGUGUGCGAUGAAGGCCUUCGGGUUGUAAAGCACUUUUGGCAGGAAAGAAACGUCGCGGGCUAAUACCCCGUGGAACUGACGGUACCUGCAGAAUAAGCACCGGCUAACUACGUG
rnacentral:rRNA from 1 species